AGAGUUUGAUCCUGGCUCAGGAUGAACGCUGGCGGCGUGCCUAAUACAUGCAAGUCGAACGCACAGCGAAAGGUGCUUGCACCUUUCAAGUGAGUGGCGAACGGGUGAGUAACACGUGGACAACCUGCCUCAAGGCUGGGGAUAACAUUUGGAAACAGAUGCUAAUACCGAAUAAAACUCAGUGUCGCAUGACACAAAGUUAAAAGGCGCUUUGGCGUCACCUAGAGAUGGAUCCGCGGUGCAUUGGUUAGUUGGUGGGGUAAAGGCCUACCAAGACAAUGAUGCAUAGCCGAGUUGAGAGACUGAUCGGCCACAUUGGGACUGAGACACGGCCCAAACUCCUACGGGAGGCUGCAGUAGGGAAUCUUCCACAAUGGGCGAAAGCCUGAUGGAGCAACACCGCGUGUGUGAUGAAGGCUUUCGGGUCGUAAAGCACUGUUGUAUGGGAAGAACAGCUAGAAUAGGGAAUGAUUUUAGUUUGACGGUACCAUACCAGAAAGGGACGGCUAAAUACGUGCCAGCAGCCGCGGUAAUACGUAUGUCCCGAGCGUUAUCCGGAUUUAUUGGGCGUAAAGCGAGCGCAGACGGUUGAUUAAGUCUGAUGUGAAAGCCCGGAG
rnacentral:rRNA from 1 species